rnacentral:rRNA from 1 species
GACUAUGGCCAUGCCAUCCUGAAUGUGCCCGAUCUCAUCUGAUCUCAGAAGCUAAGCAGGGUCAGGCCGGGUUAGUACUUGAAUGGGAGACCACCUAGGAAUACCAGGUGCUGUAGGCA